UCAGAAAGUGGUGACGAAAGGAAGAACGUGGAGGAGAAAAGUGACAUAAAUAUUGCAGUUCUUGUUGGACGUCAAGUCAGUGAAGGUACAGAUAAUGGUGCUCUCCCUUCUUACGUGUCUGCGUUCAUAGAAAAGGAAGUUGGAAAUGACCUUAAGUCCUUAAAGAAACUUGAUAAACUCAUAGAACAGAUGACAGAAAGUAAAAUGCAAUUAGAAGAACAGGUGCUUACAAUUUCAUCAGAAAUUCCUAAAAGAAUUCAAAGUGCCUUAAAAAAUGCAGCAGAAUCAAAGCAAUUCCUAAAUCAGUUUCUAGAGCAAGAAACUCAUCUCUUCAGAUCCAUUAACAGCCAUUUGCUGAAUGCACAGCCCUGGAUGCAUGAGCUUAGGGCCAUGAUUGACCAAAUUGAAGAGAUUGAAAGGCGUCUCGCUUACCUUGAACGGAUUUCACAAAUUGAAGAACUAAGUGAUAAUAUUCAGCAGUAUCUGAUGACCAAUGAUGUACUGGAGGCAGCCUCUACUCUAGUGUCUAUGGCAGAACUUGACAUCAAGCUUCAGGAAUGAUCUUGUACUCAUCUUCUCAGUUAAAUUCUGGCAUAAAAUUCUCAAGGACAAGCUUACAAGUGAUUUUGAGGAAAUUUUAGGACAACUUCAUUGGCCAUUCAUUGCACCCCCUCAAUCUCAAACUGUUGGCUUAAGUCGACCUGCCAGUGGCCCUGAAUGGUAUAGUAACUUGGAGACACUAUUUUUGUCAGCUUCUCAAACUACAAACCUCAGAAGAAUUAAUUACAGAACCAAAACAACUCCCAGAACAACACUCUCUUCCUGCAUCCCCUUCUUUUAUCCUGCCCAUUCAGGUUAUGCUGACUCCUCUCCAGAAGAGGUUCAGAUGUCAUUUCAGAGGGAACCGGCAGACUAAUGUUAUCAGCAAGCCUGUAUGGUACUUGGCUCAAGUACUUAUGUGGAUUGGAAAUCAUACACAAUUUCUGGAUGAGAAGAUUCAGCCCAUAUUAGACAAAGUAGGGUCUUCAGUAAAUGCAAGGCUUGAAUUUUCUCGAAGCCUUAUGAUGCUAGUGCUUGAGAAAUUAGCUGCUGAUAUUCCUUGUCUGCUAUAUGAUGACAGUCUCUUCUGUCAUUUGGUGCAUGAAGUGCUCUUUUUUGAAAGGGAGCUUCAUACUGUUCACAGCUAUCCUGGCACUUUUGCUGGUUGUACGCAUAUUCUGUCAACAGAGAAACCUGAGGAAACCUGUUUUCAGAGAUGGUUGACUGUGGAGAGAAAAUUUGCUCUUCAAAAAAUGGACACGAUGCUUUCAUCAGAAGCUGCCUGGGUAUCCCAAUAUAAGGAUAUCACUGAUGUGGAUGAAAUGAAAGUUCCAGACUGUGCAGAAACUUUUAUGACUCUACUCUUGGUUAUAACUGACAGGUAUAAAAAUCUUCCCACACCUUCAUGAAAGCUGCAGUUCCUGGAGUUACAGAAGGAGCUAGUAGAUGAUUUUAGGAUACGAUUAACUCAGGUGAUGAAAGAAGAGACUAGAGUUUCCCUUGGCUUUCAAUACUGUGCAAUUCUUAAUGCUGUGAACUACAUCGCGACAGUACUAGCAGACUGGGCUGACAAAGUUUUCUUUUUACAACUUCAACAGGCAGCAUUGGAGGUCUUCGCAGAUGAUAAUAUCUAAGUAAACUGCAACUCGGACAACUGGCCUCCAUGGAGAGCUCUGUGUUUGAUGACAUGAUUAACCUCUUAGAGCAUUUAAAGCAUGACAUGUUGACUGGACAAGUAGACCAUGUCUUUAGAGAAGUUAAAUAAUGCUGCAAAAUUAUAUAAAAUUAUAUAAAAAAGAAAGAUGGUUGUCCUUGCCAUCUCAGUCAGAGCAGGCAGUAAUAUCCCUGUCCAGUUCGGCCUGCCCAUUUUUUGCUGAUGUUACGAGACUGUUUACUUCAACUGGAGCAGUAGCUUUGUUUGUCCUUAUUUAAAAUUUUCUGGCAAAUGCUUGUAGAGAAGCAGGAUAUAUACAUCUGCCAAGAAAUCAUUCUUGCUAAUCAUUUCAAUGAAGGAGGAGCAGCCCAGUUGCAGUUUGAUAUGACUUGCAAUCUUUUCCCUUUGUUUUCUCACUAUUGCAAGAGACCAGAAAAUUAUUUUAAACGUGUAAAAGAAGCUUGUAUUAUUUUGAAUUUGAACAUCGGCUCUGCACUAUUCUUGAAAGAUGUAUUGCAGUCAGCUUCAGGACAGCUUCCUGCGACAGCAGCAUUAAAUGAAGUUGGAGUUUACAAACUGGCUCAACGAGAUGUUGAAAUUCUGCUUAAUUUGAGGACAAACUGGCCUAACACUGGGAAAUAAUGCAACUUUCAGAAAAAGGAUGUUUGGGGGUUUUGUUUUUAAGAAAGAGGAAGCUAGUUGGAUUUCAAGUUAUCUAAUGAAGUUCUGAAUUAAUGAAACUGGACAACUGAAAACUUUAUGGAAUCAUUUUUAUCUUGGAUAUAUGGUAUUAUUAAAAUGCCAACCAUAUGUCCUGAGUCCUCUUGUUCCUAGGAAAAUAAAAACAAAAUUCAGAAACCAUGAAAACUGAACAUAAUUCCAUUUA